GUCUUCUGCCAAGGGCCUUUCAGAAGAGGCGGAGCCUAUCUCUCAUCAGGACCAGUCUGACUGCACCUGCAUCCUUAGCUCAGAGCAUCCCUGGAGCAUCUAAGAGGAAAGCGCAGCUAGCAACCAGGGAUCGUACUGCAGGGGCAAUCGGUCAUGCACCUUCCCCUCCCCUGAUCUGGAGGUCUACAGCCGCGGCCUCGGUACUGACCGAGAUUCCCAAAGUUGUCUGACCUCUGCAAAAGUGUUUCUAUCAACAGCCUCUGAUUACAACAUGGCUGAGAUCACAAAUAUACGCCCCAGCUUUGGCCACGAACAUGAAGUUCUCUCAAGGUCGUAGCAAACAGACGGUCCUAUGGCCCACGGUUCCAACAGGAAGUAGGACAGCCACCUCUGACUUUACCACACUGCUCACUUCUGGCUUCAGUGCUAAGCCAAGAAAUAAUGCAAAUACAGACAAAGAGAGAAGCCUUGCCUGCUGCAUCUGCUGCUGAAGCCUGCUCCUCUGUGCUGGGUCGAGGACCAGAGUCUGAUGGGCUGCCUCCUCCUGCGGUUUCAGCUUCUCCACCUCAGGCUGCUGUCUGACUGAGGGUUUCUUCAUCUUCAGCUGCUCCAGCAGCUCCUUCACUGUCCGGUGCCGCUCAUUUAGUAAGUUGGCCAACGGCUCCUCAAACCUGUUCCCAACAAGGAUAGAACAUGCAUUUUCUCCUAGGUCCACAAAACAGCAAAUUCCUUGUAACAACAAAACAUGAACAUCUGUUUUACUUUGAUCAUGAUGGCUCACUAUUCUUGACCCUUAAGCAAAUAUUUCCCUUGACUGUUAGCACUGUAUUCAAAUAAAAGAAGUCUGGUGUUAGAGGAUAGUUUGAGCUCAUAUCUAGAAUGCUUGAAGCCCUGGGUCAAUCUCCAACUAUUCCAAAGAAUAUUCUGAAAUGUUUUCCACCUUACUGUAACACAAUUACUUCUCUGUAUAAAACACACAGAGAAAAGAAAUGAAAUGAAAAUCUAGAAGCAGAGAAACAACAGUGUAGUACAAUGCCACAGGCUAGUGGGACUUCAUCAUCCUUGCAUUGUACUAACACAUACUACUUUAUGAGUUCUUCCAAAUUGAAGGGACUCUAGCUAGCUCCAGUGUGACAAGCAUGGCUCCGGCAGGCCUUGCCCCUCUCUCCCAUUCCUUCCAGCUUGCUAACAACCAUUAGAGCUAGCCAGCAAGGUUGAUUCCUUUACUUGGCUACUUCCUCCUCUUGAGGCUGACAAAGUAUUUAAGUCCAGCAAUCAAAAAGUUCCCUUUAGGUCACCUAAUUAAGAUGCCCACUUAAAAUUAAAACACCUCAUCCUAACACAGGCUUUUCCCUUGUACCUUUAUAAACCACAACUUGCCUAUGGACCCUGUCUGUCUCCUCUCAAUUCAGAGGCAGUCCUUUGUCUUCUGGGAGAAAGACUCCUCCCACUUUUCCCCUGUACCCUUCCCCUUCUCAGCUAUCCUCUAUCUCCUGUCUUUGACCUUUAUCCCUGCUCUCUGUCUCUCUGGGGCAAAUAAAUCUCCUUUGUGCUGAGAA
rnacentral:lncRNA from 1 species